GAUGACGCUGGCGGCGUGCCUAAUACAUGCAAGUCGAGCGAGUGGCGGACGGGUGAGUAAUGUCUGGGAAACUGCCUGAUGGAGGGGGAUAACUACUGGAAACGGUAGCUAAUACCGCAUACCAUCGGAUGUGCCCAGAUGGGUUUAGCUAGUAGGUAGGGUAACGGCUCACCUAGGCGACGAUCCCUAGCUGGUCUGAGAGGAUGACCAGCGAAACUGGAACUGAGACACGGUCCAGAAUCCUACGGGAGGCAGCAGUGGGGAAUCUUGAACAAUGGGCGCAAGCCUGAUGCAGCCAUGCCGCGGGUAUGAAGAAGGCCUUCGGGUUGUAAAGUACUUUCAGCGGGGAGGCGUUACCCGCAGAAGAAGCACCGGCUAACUCCGUGACAGCAGCCGCGGUAAUAC
rnacentral:rRNA from 1 species